UACGGAGGGUGCAAGCGUUAUCCGGAUUCACUGGGUUUAAAGGGUGCGUAGGCGGGUUGGUAAGUCCGUGGUGAAAUCCCCAAGCUUAACUUGGGAACUGCCGUGGAUACUAUCAAUCUUGAAUAUCGUGGAGGUAAGCGGAAUAUGUCAUGUAGCGGUGAAAUGCUUAGAUAUGACAUAGAACACCAAUUGCGAAGGCAGCUUACUACACAGUUAUUGACACUGAGGCACGAAAGCGUGGGGAGCAAACAGG
rnacentral:rRNA from 1 species